UUCACCAAGCACCAAUGCAGAGGAAGCAGCUACUCCAGAAGUGGUGCCCAGGAUCCUGCUUCCUGAUUGUGCUCUCCACUUCUAUGAAUGCCAUUUUCAGAAGU